rnacentral:rRNA from 1 species
AUUGAACGCUGGCGGCAGGCCUAACACAUGCAAGUCGAGCGGAUGAAGGGAGCUUGCUCCUGGAUUCAGCGGCGGACGGGUGAGUAAUGCCUAGGAAUCUGCCUGGUAGUGGGGGAUAACGUCCUGAAACGGGCGCUAAUACCGCAUACGUCCUGAGGGAGAAAGUGGGGGAUCUUCGGACCUCCCGCUAUCAGAUGAGCCUAGGUCGGAUUAGCUAGUUGGUGGGGUAAAGGCCUACCAAGGCGACGAUCCGUAACUGGUCUGAGAGGAUGAUCAGUCACACUGGAACUGAGACACGGUCCAGACUACUACGGGAGGCAGCAGUGGGGAAUAUUGGACAAUGGGCGAAAGCCUGAUCCAGCCAUGCCGCGUGUGUGAAGAAGGUCUUCGGAUUGUAAAGCACUUUAAGUUGGGAGGAAGGGCAGUAAGUUAAUACCUUGCUGUUUUGACGUUACCAACAGAAUAAGCACCGGCUAACUUCGUG